CUAUAUUGGACAGGGCCACCCAA
rnacentral:siRNA from 1 species